CAGGAGGGUGGAGGGGCGCUGCCACCACCUCCCCAGCCAGGCUCUUGCAGGCAGCCAUCACGCCGCACAGAGCAGUGACCUGGAGCUGCCAGCAUGAGAAGUGUUUGGUCCUGCCCCUUCCACUCCCCGCCUGGGCCCAGCUGCCGGGGACAGGGGUGAGCACGCCAGGGGGCAGGCACAGCGAGAGAAGAAUGUGGACAGGCCAAUCUUGGGGGCACUUGACUCUGUAUGCUGCCCCUGCCCCCACGCAGCACCAUGGUGCCUCGGUGGAUUGGGUGGGAAGCUCCAAGCAUCCACCACCCCAGACCGAAGAGACGUCGAUAUACAUGAGCAUGACACUGCAGCGGGAUACAUGUCAUUAAUGUUCCAAUUGCUGUAAUGCAGAACUCGUCCAUGCACAGCCUCAUCACAGAACCCCCCCAAAAUCAGAGGCAACUGUAGCCCAGGCUGUGCAGCAACGACAUGGGAGACUUUCUCUGGAGCCACAACUGGACCAUGCACAGUGACCCGAAGUGUGGUAGGACACUGGAAUAUUCUCAGGACACAUGGAGCAUGUUUGCCUUUUGGAAAAAAAUGUUUCUUCUGAAUAAAAUUGGGAAAAAAUACCCAAACUCUC